rnacentral:rRNA from 1 species
GCAGCAGCCACGGUAAUACAGAGGGUGCGAGCGUUAAUCGGAUUUACUGGGCGUAAAGCGUGCGUAGGCGGCUUUUUAAGUCGGAUGUGAAAUCCCUGAGCUUAACUUAGGAAUUGCAUUCGAUACUGGGAAGCUAGAGUAUGGGAGAGGAUGGUAGAAUUCCAGGUGUAGCGGUGAAAUGCGUAGAGAUCUGGAGGAAUACCGAUGGCGAAGGCAGCCAUCUGGCCUAAUACUGACGCUGAGGUACGAAAGCAUGGGGAGCAAACAGGAUUAGAUACCCGUGUAGUCCCUGUCUCUUAUAA